GCUACACUUGGAGCCUACACCAUGCUCUUAUCAGCCUAGGCAAGGCACUGUCCGAAUCCCUGCUUUCCCCAGAGACUUCCGCCCCAGCCAGCAUCUGUUUCCUCUGCUAUAUUUAAACAACCAGGUUAGUGAACUUGGGACAGCAUUUCUGCCCAGGAGGAACAAAGCCUUCCACAGAACACACAGGAUAUAUUGUGAUUCUGAGGCCUUGUGGGUUGCUGUGUGCUCCUUCUCAGCUACUGGGAAUCAAAAUACAAAUCCAAUGAAUACUUAAGAGCUGUAUCCAGAACUAAAACAUACCGUGGCUGUCAGAAAGUCAAGAGGAAGAAAUCAUGAAAGUCAGGGGAGCACCUCGUUCAAAGUAUCUGACUACCCAAGCUUCAAGAACAAAAAAGGAAAAGUUUGCAACCAUCACUUGAAAUCUGCCAUUCCAUCGAUAAAAAAGAUGUGGGGAUUUUUAUACAAUGGAGUACUACCCUGCCAUAAAGAAGGAUGAGCUUGAGACAUUUAUAGCUAAAUGGAUGCAUCUUGAGACCAUACUCUUAAGUGAAAUAAAUCAGACACACACGUUUGAAUACCAUAUUGUUUCUCUGGUGUGAGAAACAGAAAGUGGAAAUAAGGACUAAAAUGUAUAAUAGAUAUUGGGAAAUGGGAA
ensembl:lncRNA